CUUAUUCAACAACCGACUGACAACGAAGACAAAACAAUUUAUGCAACUUAUUUUCUACAAUGCAACAGAGUAAAUUGCGUUCGGAAGUUAUGACGAAACCAACAACCAUGACGCGAACCAAGGAGAAAACUACCAGACUCUCGUCUGGAGGUUAUGAUGCGCCGCGGUGUGCUUAAGACUAACAAAGGUCGAUGAAGUCAAUGCAACUGAAUUCAUCUGAUUUAGUUUGAUUUAAAAAUUCACAAAUAUUCCUAGACAAAUAUUGAACUUUUCGUGCUUUUAAGAAAACUUCAGUAGAGAGCCGUUCUGAUGCCACUUUAAUCACACGAUAACGGGUAUACUUUACACGUUUCAUUACCAUUUGCAAUGGACAAAAAAUUUAAAAACUUAAAAUUUCAGCGCCUCCAAAAUGUGCAUGUUAAUGGAUGCUUCUCUGCUUUAGGUGCUUCACAGAAAGUCUGAUCGCCGUUAUAAUGAUAAAAUUGUAUAAAAAGGGUACACUGAAGUCAGCUGUAAUGCAUUACGUUAAAAAUAAUCAUAAUUGGAUAGUGCAGGAAAACAAUGAUCCCAACAUAGGGCCAUACUUUAGAUUGAUCAUCACAGUCAUCGGACGCCAAACCAAUAAAGACUGUUUAGACUUUAUUGAAAACUAAAAUAUAAGAACUCAUUUAACGCCAAGGAAAGAUUUCAUUCGGCUCCUCCAAUAUGCUUGGAGGUCGCUUACUGUGAAAUAUGCGGAAAUUUAGCUGAAAGUUGCCGUCAAAUAUAUCAGGCUAUAAUAGAUAGAGCGGGAGAUUGGAGCAAGUAUUCAAUAAAUGUUAGCUACACAAAAACAAUUAUUUUCUAUAGUUGAACUAUUUUUCCAAUAAACGCUACCUAUACUUUGGUUAACGAAAA